CCAGCAUUUUAUAGGGAAAGCAGCGGGCCCUCAGUUCAAGAAAGACCCAACUUCAAAAUAAAAGUCAACGCCCCACUCCUGGGACCGCGUCACGUUGAUCCACCAGGACCAGGCUGUCGGUGCCCUGGCCCGGCAUCUGAGGUCUGGGUCUGCUCGGAGCUGCCCCCGGGCUCUUUCCGGGCAGGUGAGAAUGACACUUUGGGGCUCCCAGCCCCCAGGGUGCAGCAGCCCCUCACUGGCUCCUGGUGUUCAGUUAAAUCGGCCUCCUGGGGGUGAGUCACCGGUGCUGCUGCAGCCGCAGUGACCAUGUAUGGCGGUCGGGCCGCUGCGAGGAGCCACGAGGAAAGCCACGCCCCCACACGAGGGGCUUAGCCAGCGCAGAUCAGCCCCGAAGGACCAAAAGCCCACCCACCCUGUGGUGUCUGGAAACGGUUCAGAAGCGGGGCCACGUAUUUGCGGAGCUGGGGGAAGUCACCGCGCGGCAGGCGGGGCUCCAAGGAGUAAGGGGGGGAUGUGGCAAUGGCAACAGACUGUGCGCCCCACGUGCCAGCCUUCCUCUGAGCCACGAGUUCAGAGAAGCUGUUGCCGGGGACCCAGAAACACCCUUUCCCUCCCUCCGACGUCCCCAGGACGGUCCUUUGGUCCCAGCCUCCACACACAAGCUCCCAGACAGAGCCACGGCUUCUCGGUUCUCCGUUCCGUCGCGGUGCCAAUGGCUGGAGCUCGAGUCAGCAGGGAAGCGCCAGGAGCCAGCCCUGGAGUCCAGAGGGGAGGCCUUCGGCGUCCGCUGAGCAACCCGCUCUGGAGCCAAGCCAGCCAGCAGCAGCAGGGAGCCACCAAAGCAAAGGCCACGGCUGACACGCGACACCUGUGAAGGCAUCCUUCUCUGUCUUUAAUCUCUGGAAAAAGCGGGGAAGGAAGGUGUCUGCUUUCUCCAGAAACCUUUCUGUUUCUGGAGAACAUGGACAAGAACCAACGUCCAGUCCGCGGGUUAAACACCUAGGCCAGGGCACUCAGGCCUAGCAUCUGAAAGCAGUUCAGUCCAGGCCCGGCAUACGUGGAACCAAAGGCAGGUGGCAAGGAGAGGCCUGGGCCAGCUCACCCGUACAGCUGUCCUCUCACGACAGAAAAAGGCACUUGAGCAGACAGGACCCCACCGCGAUCCGGCCAGGUUUAGAGGCUCCAGGAAGAGGUGAGGGCGUGGAGACCCCGCACCUGCCCGGGCCGCACCGUCACAUGCGUGGGUCCCGCGGGCCCGGGCGGCUGUCCACCCCCGUGCACGCUCGGAGUCACCGUCUGAGGAGAGACCCGAAAUGGUACAAGAGCAACAGCCCAGCCGCCUCUGGUCACCAGCGUCAGUGCUCGAGUGCGGUUCCCUCAGCCCCCGGCCGGCUCUGCGAUGCCUUCGCUCAGGCCAAAGUGUGGGGGCCCCUGCUGCCCUCUUUCUCCCUGCUUUGGAGCGAUAAAGGUGGGCCUUAGACAAAACUGCUAGGAGACCCUAAGAGCUUCGAACUAGAGAAAAUGCAAACAGAACAGAGCCCGCAAAGUCCUCACGUUAGAUGUAGAAGACGGAAGCCCCAAACCGGCACCCGACUGGCCCACUCAAGAAACCGGCCUGACCUUCCACUCACUCACUGCACUCGGGCACCUUCCCCAGGACGCCACCAGCUGCUCUGUGGUUAUCCCUGCGGAACGGGGCCGACUUCCCAGGCUCUGGGGACAGCCACCAACCUGGCUGGACGUACAGCCCCGGCCCGCCCCACAAGGAAUUCAUUCGGGGAUGAAAAGGGACCUGGAGAGCGCCUGCAGCAUGAUUCCCAACAGGCCCGACUAAGCGACCGGACACGGACGGACGGCGUGGGCACCCUUCUCAGGAUGGCCACCAACCGCUCCCCCUGUGCCAGAAGAUUCCAACUGCAGGUGGGGGCCCUGUGAUGACUCUCACCAAGAGGCAGGGACUGUGCCUGCUGGAGAGACGAGACGCGUGGAGGGGCCUCCAGAGGCACACGAUGAACUCGGAGGCCCUGGCUGACAGCAGUAUGAGAGAACUUUCCUGGACCUUCCAGGCCAGCUAUUAAACGGUCACAUGAACGACCUCAACGCCUCAUGGAACAAAAGAAACUGCCCAGCCAACCCCCAACAUCGGGAGAAGUAACGAACUGCCAAUAGUUGAAGUCACUGAGUUUCAAGGUGGUUUUGCUCCCGGCGAGGGAGAGCGGACCCAGCCGGCAAAACCGUGCAGGCAGUGAGUACCGGGACACCCAGGAUGAGGGUUCUGUCCGGAUGGCAGGAGGGGCAAGCAGAGGUCUUCUGAGACCCUGAGAGCAUUCCGUCUCUUUACUUGGACACACCUAGAUGUAUUAUCUAAAUCACACACACACAAUCCACAUACUUCCGUAUGGUACCAUUUCUCCAAAGUUGACACAAUUUUCAGUAAGAAAAGAGAGAGGGACAGGUGCUACGCUCAAGCCUGCAGAGAUGGGGUUAUUUCCAAGCACACUCCUGGCCUCUCUCACUGGGUGUCCGUCAGGUUUCAGCAGACUCGAGUGGGGUGCGCGGGGGGCUGGCCACGGCAAACAUGGUCCCGCCCGUUCCCCCAGUUCCCAAACAUCCGCAAGCAGAUGAGGACAUGAGAAGGGCUUCUCCUUGGUGAAAUGCAGGCAAUUCAACAAAACCUGGAUCCCAGGUCCCCACGCCCCCGCCCCCACCCACGACGAAAUGGCAUUCACGACGUCUCUUCAACACGCGCACGGCACCACCCGACCACCUGAGAACUAAGAACACGGCCACUCUGAGAGUCAAGUUCCACACCGCGGCCUCCGGGACUCGACUCCAGGAGGCGAGAGGCAGUUCAGCACCGCGGCGACAGGGCCUCUGGGGUCGGGCCAGGUGGGACCCGAGUCCAGCUUCUGCCACCCACCACACCAGCCGUGCAUCUCCAGCAAAGCUCCUCCCCUGGCAAAACGGGGCCAGUGGGACCACUUCCCACGUGUGUUACAGGCUUACAGGAGAUAAAUGUAAGCACAGCACCUGUACAGUGCCUGACAUACAGUAAACACUCAGCAAACAAAGGCUACCAGGAAAGAAAGACGCAAACUAUGGCUGUAUUUUUAGGUCGAAGAUCGUAUCAGAUGGUUUCUACAUAUCCUUUUAUGCUGGGUACCUUGGGUGCACCCGGUAACUAUUUAGUGACUUGACCUUGUUAGGAAGUUGUAAUCAUAACCCAUUAUUCUUUCUAAAAGCAAUCUGGAAAAAUCCCAGAGCCCAAUUAACAUUAAGAGAGGGAGGGCGUGAAGGGAGGAGCACUGGGCAAGAACCAUCCAGAGCUACUUUCUCUGUGGGGGAAGCACUUUAUAUUGAACAACUGCUCUGUUAAGCCCCACGGGUGCUGCCGGAUGAAGGCUGGAGCACCUGCCCACAGCUCUAAGUGGGUCCACACAGCACCGCCCCAUCUCAGAGUCAAAGGGGCACCUGUCAAACGUGAAACAUUACCCGGGUUAUUAGCAAGCACCGAACUGCACGCAGAGGGAAGCCACCAAGCCAGGAAACAACUGGCCUACCGCGAGGAGACGCUGGCCUUGAGAAACAGCAGUCCCCAGCUCCCAGAACACAACGUGCCCGGGUGCAGGCCCGGACGUGACACAGCCGUGUCAUGUCCGGGGGCAGGUAAGAGGGAUCACCCUUCAGCUUCCAGUCGCUCGGCAUUCCAGAUCUUCUAGAAACACAGGUAGAUCCCGUCUACAGCUGAGCGCACACAAACUCAGGCCAAAGACAUGGAAGGUCACAGCAGGCCAGCCUUGUAACUGUGAGACCUGCCGGCCCAGCCCGCCCACCCGCCCAGUGUGACGAGCUGUCCCUUUCCAGCACAACAUGGCAGAGGGGCAGAUGCCAACAAAACCAGCUCUUCUGGCACCUUCCUCUUUGCCCAGCAAGGACGGCUCUGAUAUUAAGCUCGUGUUUCUCAAACUUUUAAAAACCAAUUUCCCCUUUAGGGUGAACACGCAAACGGACUCGGACCUUCCCAACAGGCCCAGAUUCUGAUACUUCAUCUUCCACUGGGUAAUGGCCCCACUCUGAAAAUCAACUGCUGCCCUCUACACGUUCCCACCAGCCAAGAUUCAGUAGCAUUUUCUUUGAAGUCCGUGUGACAAAAAAACCACGGAUUUUUAAAACUCUAAAAAUAAUACCUAAAUAUAAAUUGUACAACU